UACAGAGGGGGCAAGCGUUGUUCGGAAUUACUGGGCGUAAAGCGCACGUAGGCGGCUUUCUAAGUCGGGGGUGAAAUCCUGGAGCUCAACUCCAGAACUGCCUUCGAUACUGGAAAGCUCGAGUCCGGGAGGGGUGAGUGGAACUGCGAGUGUAGAGGUGAAAUUCGUAGAUAUUCGCAAGAACACCAGUGGCGAAGGCGGCUCACUGGCCCGGUACUGACGCUGAGGUGCGAAAGCGUGGGGAGCAAACAGG
rnacentral:rRNA from 1 species